GCUAGCGGCAGGCUUAACACAUGCAAGCCGAACGGUAAGGCCCAGCUUGCUGGGCACACGAGUGGCGCACGGGUGAGUAACGCGUAUGCAACCUACCUUCAACUGGGGGAUAGCCCCGAGAAAUUGGGAUUAAUACCCCAUAAAAUAUCGAUUUCGCAUGUUAUCGGUAUUAAAGCCCCGGUGGUUGGAGAUGGGCAUGCGUGGCAUUAGUUAGUUGGUGGGGUAACGGCCCACCAAGGCGUCGAUGCCUAGGGGUUCUGAGAGGAUAGUCCCCCACACUGGUACUGAGACACGGACCAGACCCCUACGGGAGGCAGCAGUGAGGAAUAUUGGUCAAUGGGUGAGAGCCUGAACCAGCCAUGCCGCGUGCAGGAAUGACGGCCCUAUGGGUUGUAAACUGCUUUUCCUGGGGAAGAACCGCCCGGAUUAUUUCGGGUCUGACGGUACCCGGGGAAUAAGCACCGGCUAACUCCGUGCCAGCAGCCGCGGUAAUACGGAGGGUGCAAGCGUUAUCCGGAUUUAUUGGGUUUAAAGGGUGCGUAGGCGGGCCGGCAAGUCAGUGGUGAAACCCCGCAGCUCAACUGCGGAACUGCCAUUGAAACUACCAGCCUCGAGUACGGUUGAAGUGGGUGGAAUGUGUCAUGUAGCGGUGAAAUGCAUAGAUAUGACACAGAACGCCGAUAGCGGAGGCAGCUCACUAAACCGAGACUGACGCUGAGGCACGAAAGCGUGGGUAGCGAACAGGAUUAGAUACCCUGGUAGUCCACGCCGUAAACGAUGAUAACUCGAUGUGUGCGAUAUACAGUACGCGUCCAAGCGAAAGUGAUAAGUUAUCCACCUGGGGAGUACGUCCGCAAGGAUGAAACUCAAAGGAAUUGACGGGGGCCCGCACAAGCGGUGGAGCAUGUGGUUUAAUUCGAUGCAACGCGAAGAACCUUACCAGCCCUUGACAUCCUCGGAACUUGGCAGAGAUGCCUUGGUGCCUUCGGGAGCCGAGAGACAGGUGCUGCAUGGCUGUCGUCAGCUCGUGUCGUGAGAUGUUGGGUUAAGUCCCGUAACGAGCGCAACCCUUGUCCUUAGUUGCCAGCGGUUCGGCCGGGAACUCUAAGGAGACUGCCGGUGAUAAACCGGAGGAAGGUGGGGAUGACGUCAAGUCAUCAUGGCCCUUAUGGGCUGGGCUACACACGUGCUACAAUGGUCGGUACAGAGGGCUGCAAAGCAGCGAUGUGGAGCCAAUCCCAGAAAACCGAUCGUAGUCCGGAUUGCAGUCUGCAACUCGACUGCACGAAGUCGGAAUCGCUAGUAAUCGCGAAUCAGCAUGUCGCGGUGAUACGUUCCCGGGCCUUGUACACACCGCCCGUCACACCAUGGGAGUUGGUUGCACCAGAAGUGGAUAGCUUAACCUUCGGGAGGGCGUUCACCAC
rnacentral:rRNA from 1 species